AUUGAACGCUGGCGGCAGGCCUAACACAUGCAAGUCGAGCGGAUGAAGGGAGCUUGCUCCUGGAUUCAGCGGCGGACGGGUGAGUAAUGCCUAGGAAUCUGCCUGGUAGUGGGGGAUAACGUCCGGAAACGGGCGCUAAUACCGCAUACGUCCUGAGGGAGAAAGUGGGGGAUCUUCGGACCUCACGCUAUCAGAUGAGCCUAGGUCGGAUUAGCUAGUUGGUGGGGUAAGGGCCUACCAAGGCGACGAUCCGUAACUGGUCUGAGAGGAUGAUCAGUCACACUGGAACUGAGACACGGUCCAGACUCCUACGGGAGGCAGCAGUGGGGAAUAUUGGACAAUGGGCGAAAGCCUGAUCCAGCCAUGCCGCGUGUGUGAAGAAGGUCUUCGGAUUGUAAAGCACUUUAAGUUGGGAGGAAGGGCAGUAAGUUAAUACCUUGCUGUUUUGACGUUACCAACAGAAUAAGCACCGGCUAACUUCGUGCCAGCAGCCGCGGUAAUACGAAGGGUGCAAGCGUUAAUCGGAAUUACUGGGCGUAAAGCGCGCGUAGGUGGUUCAGCAAGUUGGAUGUGAAAUCCCCGGGCUCAACCUGGGAACUGCAUCCAAAACUACUGAGCUAGAGUACGGUAGAGGGUGGUGGAAUUUCCUGUGUAGCGGUGAAAUGCGUAGAUAUAGGAAGGAACACCAGUGGCGAAGGCGACCACCUGGACUGAUACUGACACUGAGGUGCGAAAGCGUGGGGAGCAAACAGGAUUAGAUACCCUGGUAGUCCACGCCGUAAACGAUGUCGACUAGCCGUUGGGAUCCUUGAGAUCUUAGUGGCGCAGCUAACGCGAUAAGUCGACCGCCUGGGGAGUACGGCCGCAAGGUUA
rnacentral:rRNA from 1 species